CAGGAUUCCGGGGACUGGAGGGCAGCGCCGGCAGCCAAGAUGCAACUUCUCCAGGAGUGCUUAUGUUACCCAAAGAGAAACAGAUGCACAAAGAGAAGGAAUGAGAUGCUCGGGGAUAUUUUAUCAAGGAAACCAGCAAACCAUCUUUUUCCUGAAGACCUUUUAAGAUUAGGACAAGCAGCUGUUUAUAAAAGCAGAACAGUGUUAAGAUUUGAACUGUCAAGUAGGAUCAUGCUUUGAAGUAUAUUCUGGCUAAAAGCAGGGGAUAAACUAGAUAAAACUUGGAGACUCUAAGGCCUGUCCCUGAUUAAGUGGGCCUACAAGUGAGAAUCUGAAGAACAGCUCUCUGGCUGAACAUAUCCCUUGGAUGUUGUUAUUACCAGCUGCCUCUAGAUUUGAGAACAGUGCUGAGCAUGCUUUUAAAUGAUCUUUGAGGUACUUUAAGCUACCUACACCUGAAAGCAUACCUAGCCCUCAUUUCUGUUUGCUUGAACAAGAGCCUGAAAAAGAAGUCUAAAGAACUUUCUAGUGAUAUCCUUCACUCCUGUUCUAAAAAGAACCUGUGUUCUUCACCGAGUUAAGGAAAUUUCACAACUCCCAGGGGCUAAUGUGGAGUUCAUUUUCACUUACUGCUGAAUCAACUGAAGUUCCUUUCAGAGUCUUUUCCUAGAGUGGAAAAGUAUCUGAGCUCUUCAACCUACUAUUCAUUAGUGCUGAGAG
rnacentral:sRNA from 1 species